UACAGGGGGGGCAAGCGUUGUUCGGAAUUACUGGGCGUAAAGGGCGCGUAGGCGGCCUGCUAAGUCGAACGUGAAAUCCCUGGGCUCAACCCAGGAACUGCGUCCGAUACUGGUUGGCUUGAAUCCGGGAGAGGGAUGUGGAAUUCCAGGUGUAGCGGUGAAAUGCGUAGAUAUCUGGAGGAACACCGGUGGCGAAGGCGACAUCCUGGACCGGUAUUGACGCUGAGGCGCAAAAGCCAGGGGAGCAAAGCGGG
rnacentral:rRNA from 1 species